GACCUCAGAUCAGGCAGGAUUACCCGCUGAACUUAAGCAUAUCAAUAAGCGGAGGAAAAGAAACUAACAAGGAUUCCCCUAGUAACGGCGAGUGAAGCGGGAAGAGCUCAAAUUUGAAAUCUGGUAGCCUUCGGUUGCCCGAGUUGUAAUCUAGAGAAAUGUUUUCCGUGCCGGCCCAUGUACAAGUCCCUUGGAACAGGGCGUCAUAGAGGGUGAGAAUCCCGUCCUUGACAUGGACCCCCGGUGCUUUGUGAUACAUUUUCAACGAGUCGAGUUGUUUGGGAAUGCAGCUCAAAUUGGGUGGUAAAUUCCAUCUAAAGCUAAAUAUUGGCGAGAGACCGAUAGCGAACAAGUACCGUGAGGGAAAGAUGAAAAGCACUUUGGAAAGAGAGUUAAACAGUACGUGAAAUUGUUGAAAGGGAAACGAUUGAAGUCAGUCAUGCUCUUUGGUAUUUAUAUCAUUGAGUGGGGUCAACAUCAGUUUUGAUCGAUGGAUAAAGGCACUAGGAAUGUAGCACUCUCGGGUGAACUUAUAGCCUAGCGUCAUAUACAUUGAUUGGGACUGAGGAACGCAGCAUGCCUUUAUGGCCGGGAUUCGUCCACGUACAUGCUUAGGAUGUUGACAUAAUGGCUUUAAACGACCCGUCUUGUAACACGGACCAAGGAGUCUAACAUGCUUGCGAGUAUUUGGGUGUCAAACCCGGAUGC
rnacentral:rRNA from 1 species